ACCGCUCACGGCGCAGUGGGAAAAGCAGGGAGAGGGAGACUGGAAUGAAGCCAGGGAUGUGCACGAGGGCUUGGAGUCUGGGGGAGUGAGCGGCUUGAGGGCUUGCCAAGCCAGCUGGCCCCCAACACCCAAGCAUGACUGCCCAUAGCCUCCUCUCGGUAGCCCCCACGCCUGUGCCACCUGCAGCAGGGAAAGCCCUUGUCCUGGCAGUCACACGUCCCCUCCGAGCUCCAGCCACACUCAACAGGCACAGCCCCUCACCCAAUGCCACUUCCCCCCUGCAGCCGACCCCUCCCACACUGUGCCCCUGCUGCCCAGCUCCGCACAGGGGUAGCAGCCUCAUCUGUUUGUAGGUGAGGCUGGGCCCAGGAGGGAGGAGGGGACCAGCCCAGGGAGGCACCAGCUGGUGAGUCCAGCAUGGCAGAGGGAGGGAGGCUUCCGUGUGAGUCUGCCCCAUCUCCUGCCUGGAUCUGCCCGUCUGCCAGAGGAGUGAAGCAGCCCAUUUCUUCAUCAACUGGGUGUUGUCCACCCUCUCAGGCCCUGGACCAGCCCCGAGGAGCUUGCAUACUGGGCAGUCAGCGUGGAGGGCUGGGCAGAGGGAAGCUCAGAGGCGUGGGAGCCAGGGUUAGGUCCCUGACCCCACUUUCCAGGAGGUGACAGGUGGCAGUGGGAGCAGGUGGGGGGAUGGCAUGGGUGCCAAGGGGAAGGGUGCCCUGGGUGAGCUGGAGGGGUGGGUGCUGGGUCGCGGUCCUCAAAGCAGCGCCACCCGAAGCCGGCCUACCUGUGCGAGGAGCUUGUCACCCUCCAGCAGCCUCACUUUGCUCUCCAGUUGCCUGAUGUAGGUGGAUGAGGGAUCUGGAAGGACACAAGAAGAAGGGGGACAUUAGCCUCCAGCAGACUCCAUCCCCAGUGCGCAACCCCGACUGGCCCCAGACCCAGCAUGGAAGGUUUGGGUCUGAGGAGUCCCACCCCACAGCCAAGUGAGACCCCAGCCCCUCCGUGCCCUCGCCUGCCCUGUGGAAACAGCACAGCCUGUGGCCAAAGCCUUCCAGCCACAGAGCACCUGACACCAAGGCAUGACACACAGAGGCCAGCCUCGCAGGACCCGCCGCCACCCUCGCUGUGGGCCUCUGAGCCGUUGUCAGGACCUUCAGGACCUGUAGAAAGGUGGGGUGGGGGGUGGCUUUGCCAGCCUGCCCUGGAGCAAUUCCUUCAGCUUCCAAGAUGCUGCAGGCUCAAACGGAGCUCUCACAAACACAGCCAGGGCACAGCCCACCCCAGGGUCGGGGUCCGGGGAGCCCCCUCCCCUACACAGUGGGGAAAUAGACUCCUGAACUUGCCAAGUCAGCAUCUGGGAUCCUUCCAGUCCACUUCGCCUGAUCACCCAGGAACUUCUCACAAGCAAUGUGUGCCCGCAGCAUAUGCCGCAGGAGGGCUCCCUGGAACACCAGCUGGGAAGCAGUGACCAAGUAAACUCCAGAGACCCUUCCGGCUCCCUCACUCUCACAGACCUAGGACAAGAACGCACCAAUGACUAUGGACCCAUGUGUGGGGUCUCCUUCUGGGUGGAGUCAGGUGGGGGGGUGCCCACUGUCCCAUGUGGAACACGUGGUACCCCCUGCAUCUGAUGCCUCGUAAAGGACAAGCAGCUACCAUCCUCAUUUUCCAGGUGCAGAGGCCACGAGGAACAAAGUGUCCCCACCACCAGCAGGUGAGCCUUCCAGCCCCUCUCCCCACUACCCAGGCCCACCCCACAGGUCAGUCUUUAGGACCCAGUGUUUCUGGUCACCAUGGGCAGAGCUGACAGCCCCAGCCUUGGAGAGAAGCUGGCAGAGACUCAGAAAGAAGACGCCGUUCCCAGUCACACCGCUCUCCCGAAGGCUCUCCGCAGCACAAUCCUUGGCACAGCCACAGGGCCCCUGCUCACCGCAGCACCCCCAUGGGACAGUGCUCCCAGGGGUGGCCCUGAGCCAGGGGGAGGACCCAGCCACUGUGUGUGACCAACAGCCCAAGAUGGGCACUAACUUGUUCUCUGCCCUUCACUGCCACAGAACCAUUCAGGAGGUGGGUGCACUUUCAGCCCACUCGCCUCCCCCUGCCGGUUCCCACAGGGUGAGCGAGUAGCUCCCAGCCCUUCCCUCUCCGCGAGCCCACAAUCGGAGGACGGAUGGGCUGGAACCCAAGUCCACAGCUGCCCCGUCAGCCUCAGCACCCUCGCUGGGUGCCCCUGCUCCUGUCUGAGCAGUCCGCCCCCUCAGAUACAACUGGGGUUUCACACCCACCUCCCAGUAAGGGUUAAAGACAGUGAUCAGGCUGGCAGGUGGCAUCAGGAGAAGGGACACAGACAGGCCAUCCCACAGGUCACCAGCAAUGCCCCGCUUGCCAAUAGCCAGCACCUCACCUCAGGACCCACAGGCCACCAUCCCCCACGUCGGGCCACCUGUAGGCACAGAUGGGUGGCCACACACCCAUGGCCCCAGACUAAGGGGCUGCCCCUGACAAACCCAUCUGUUGAGGUUUACCCCAAACCCCAGGCAGCUAUGCAGAAUAAAAUACACUGCAGACCAC